rnacentral:rRNA from 1 species
AUUGAACGCUGGCGGCAUGCCUUACACAUGCAAGUCGAACGGUAACAGGUUAAGCUGACGAGUGGCGAACGGGUGAGUAAUGUAUCGGAACGUACCCAGUCGUGGGGGAUAACUGCUCGAAAGAGCAGCUAAUACCGCAUACGACCUGAGGGUGAAAGCGGGGGAUCGCAAGACCUCGCGCGAUUGGAGCGGCCGAUAUCAGAUUAGGUAGUUGGUGAGGUAAAGGCUCACCAAGCCGACGAUCUGUAGCUGGUCUGAGAGGACGACCAGCCACACUGGGACUGAGACACGGCCCAGACUCCUACGGGAGGCAGCAGUGGGGAAUUUUGGACAAUGGGCGCAAGCCUGAUCCAGCCAUGCCGCGUGCGGGAAGAAGGCCUUCGGGUUGUAAACCGCUUUUGUCAGGGAAGAAAAGGUUCUGGCUAAUACCUGGGACUCAUGACGGUACCUGAAGAAUAAGCACCGGCUAACUACGUG